ACAGAUGCACUAGGCUCAAGGAAUAGCUUAAAUAAUGAUGGUGGAGUGAGCUAACGUGCAUCAAGAACUGAAGGGGUAACUUAUUUUCUUAAGAAAGACCCGUUCCCAAACGGCCAAACUUUUUUUUUGUUGUCAUUAGGGAGAGAGAGAGUCUCCAUAGCUUUUUAGAGAGAGAGAGAGAGAGAGUUCGGGGAGCUGGUUUCGUUGAGGGAGGCUUCACGCCUCCCCCUCCCGGUUCUGGUUUACCCAUUGCCUUAUAGGGGAUGGUUGUUUGUGGGCGUGUAUCCAGCAAAGUUUAUCUAGCUGUGCUUGCUUUGGGUGUUUUUUCUUGGUGCUAGAUUUGUGAGCUUUAACUGGGUUUUUAUCGACACACACCUCUCUGUAGUGGUCGUUGGUGUGCUUCAGUCCGAUAGGCUCAAGAUGCAACUGUGCUUCUCUGUCCUAAUAGGCGUGUGGCCUAUACGCGCGGGGGAGUUUUCCUCCCUGGACCAGCGAGUGUGGGCCACGGCUUGUACAUUUCGGUCUUGGCUGGUGAAGAUCAUGGUUAUGUAGGCUGUCUGCUGCUUGGAGGUUUCCUGGGCGCGUGUUUCACAUGCGCCUGCUCCGACAACAAUCUUCCUUACACCGCUUACUCGGUGGUUUUCAUGUUUUUUUGUAUAUUCUUACUCUCUUUUCACAGUCUACCAUUGUAAUGAUUAUAUUUUACUUGAGCAUUUAGAUGGUUUGGGAGCUAGAUCAGCCCUCCUUUUUUUAGAUAGGAUGUGUUUUAUUGUAAGGAGAUGCUCAAAUGGUUGUUCUUAUAAUAUUUGUUUAUUAUUUUGGUA